CAAGGUCAGACAGCAUAUCAGUGGUUGGAGGAGAGGAAGAGUCUGGGCUCCAGCCUUAGUAGACCCACAUCUUUCCAAGAACACUUGGGAUAACCUGACCUGACUGUCCCUGUGCCUGGAUGUGAGAUUCUAAGUCCUUCCAGACUUUACUACAGAGGCUUGGAGGCUGUGGGCUGCCAGGCCAGUGGGAGGUGUGUCUUCAUGUAUUGGUUGGAAAUCUGGUGUGGGUCUCACUGGGCUAAAAUACUGGUGUUGGCAGAGCUGUGUCCUUUCCUGGAGGCUCCAGAAGAGCCAGCUGCCUUGCCUUGUCCAGCUUCUAGAGAUGCCUGCUUCUGACCACCUUCCUCCACCAUCAGAGCCAUCAAACGUAGGGCCCUUCCUGUGACCAAACAUUUUUACCAGACCAUCUGAUUCUGACAGAAGCACAAUGAUGCCAAAGAAAGAGAAAAAUAUUUUUAACCAGCCAGCUUUGGUGCAAGUCCCAGCAGAACUGUCUGCUUCCUAUGAUCUUGGGCAAUUAACGGCAGUAGAAGAAUGGCACCUCAUGGUAUGGAAACUGCUGACUAGAAGGAAAUGAUGAAGAGGCAGCCCACAACAUUCCUGUUUGUGAAGCUCUGCUGUCCCCAGCAUUUGUCUCUGCCCACACUGCCAGGCUUUGGGGAUUAGCAAGAACAGCAUCUCAAACGAAUAAUCUCCUUCUGCCACUUCCUUUCCCAGUGCUGGCAGUGCUGUCAGCUCCCACGCACCAUGGAAAGCCUGGUGGUAAAAGAGUCAUUGCUGUGAUUAUCUAGGGACACAUAACAUGCUAAUAAUGAAGCAUGUGCUUAACAUUGA